rnacentral:lncRNA from 1 species
UUUUGCAUUGAAAGUCUUGUGAAAAAAUGACACAUGUAGUACUUGGUCCCCUGUGUUAUAAAACUUGGUCCCUUCUAUUGAACUUUCUGUACAAUUUCCCAUUUUCAUUCUGAUAAACGUUUACAUGGGUCUGUAAACGUUUACCACGACCAUUUCUGAAGGACUUAUUAAAUCACUCGUUUUAGGUUGCUCAAAUGACUA